rnacentral:rRNA from 1 species
CAAAAACAUGUCUUUUUGGUUAUUUAAUAUAAAGUCUAGCCUGCCCACUGAAUUUAAUUUUGAAGGGCCGCAGUAUUUUGACUGUGCAAAGGUAGCAUAAUCAUUAGUCUUUUAAUUGGAGGCUGGUAUGAAUGGUUGGAUGAGGUACAAGCUGUGUCAUAAAAAUUAACAUUUGAAUUUAACUUUUUAGUCAAAAGGCUAAAAUUAAAUUAAAAGACGAGAAGACCCUAUAGAGCUUUAUAUAAUAAUUAUUUAAUUUAUUAAGAUUUAUUAAAUUUAAUUAUUUGAUUAUAUUUUGUUGGGGUGACAGUAAAAUUUAAAAAACUUUUAUUAUUAAUUUACAUUUAUUUAUGAUUAAAUGAUCCAGUUUUAUUGAUUAUAAAUUUAAGUUACCUUAGGGAUAACAGCGUAAUUUUUUUUGAGAGUUCUUAUCGACAAAAAAGAUUGCGACCUCGAUGUUGGAUUAAGAGUAAUUUUGGGUGUAGAAGUUCAAAGUUUAAGUCUGUUCGACUUUUAAAUUCUUACAUGGUCUGAGUUCAAACCGGCAG